AUGAGGACAAAAAGAAGCUGCGCAUCUGCAAAUUUUCAAACGCGUUCAAAUUUUCCAAAGAAUCCGACAGAAACUUUAAGUGCUCAAUUAAAUACUGCCGACAGGCACAGGCACAGAGUAGUAGUUCCUCGAAAAAAUCACUCAUUUCUUUUUCGAGGAAUAUUGUACGGGGAGUACUUGAUUUCCGUGGAUUGUGGGGCUAAAAUAAAAAAGAAACAAUUGGAGAUUUUCCUCCUAGUUCGAAAUAAUUCAAACCGGGGCAACAAUCCAGACAAAAAAAGGGCACAAGAUUCCAAAGAUUUGCAGGGCAAACUCAAGAACAUCGAGCGCCGCAUAUUCACCGCUCAAAUCUUCCGAGCUCGCAAUCUUUCAACCCCCCAGCAAAAAGACCCGUAA
rnacentral:rRNA from 1 species